AAAUAUCAAUAUAUAUAUAUAUAUAUGUGUGUGUGUGUGUGUGUGUCUAUAUAAACCCCAACCUGCUCGCUCUAAAUUCAACAACUGAUCCUUGAUCACACCUCUAAUUCAUCACUGCAAGAAAUUACUCCUAUCCAUCCAUCGCUACUGAAGUGCAUAAGGGUAGGUAGGCAGACGCGAGGAUGAGCAAAAUAAGGUUGGUUGCGGUGCUGGUUAUACUGAUUAUGAGCUCUUGGUUGGGAGAAGGCAGGAGAGUAGUGGCGGCAGCUGCUGGAAAACAGAUGACGGUGGAAAAGCAGAAGGUGAUGGAGGGUAGUGAAGAUGAUGGAGAUGAUAGUGGUUUGGAUGGGGACAAUCAUCAUGGCUGGUCCUUACAGGACUUUGUCAUGCAUGGUGGUUCAUGUCCAGGGAGAAACUGAUCAUCACAUCACUAUAUAUAUAUCAUCUAACUCUCAUUUUCACUAUAAUUUGGUGUGGAAAUACUAUAUAUAAAUAUAUAAUGCUAUGUAUUAGCCGCUUUUAUUUUUAUUAGGAGGUUGAAUAUCCUUCUAUUACCAAUGUAAUAUGUGUACUGUCAUGUGAUGUUGGGAUUGAUAUAUAUGGAGGUAUGUCAUCAUGUUAUAUAUGUGUGUAUAUAUAUGUGGCUCUUUUA